CACGUAGGGCGCAAGCGUUGUCCGGAAUUAUUGGGCGUAAAGAGCUCGUAGGCGGUCUGUUACGUCUGCUGUGAAAACCCGGGGCUUAACCCUGGGCUUGCAGUGGAUACGGGCAGACUAGAGGCAGGUAGGGGAGAAUGGAAUUCCCGGUGUAGCGGUGAAAUGCGCAGAUAUCAGGAAGAACACCCGUGGCUAAGGCGGCUCUCUAGUACGGUACUGACGCUGAGACGCGAAAGCGUGGGGAGCAAACAGG
rnacentral:rRNA from 1 species